AUACGUAGGGUGCGAGCGUUAAUCGGAAUUACUGGGCGUAAAGCGUGCGCAGGUGGUUUUGUAAGUCAGAUGUGAAAUCCCCGGGCUUAACCUGGGAACUGCGUUUGAAACUGCAAGGCUAGAGUGUGCCAGAGGGGGGUGGAAUUCCGCGUGUAGCAGUGAAAUGCGUAGAGAUGUGGAGGAACACCGAUGGCGAAGGCAGCCCCCUGGGUCAACACUGACGCUCAGGCACGAAAGCAUGGGGAGCAAACAGGAUUAGAAACCCCGGUAGUCC
rnacentral:rRNA from 1 species